rnacentral:rRNA from 1 species
GACGAACGCUGGCGGCGUGCUUAACACAUGCAAGUCGAACGAUGAAGCCGGAGCUUGCUCUGGUGAAUUAGUGGCGAACGGGUGAGUAACACGUGAGUAACCUGCCCUUGACUCUGGGAUAACUGCUAGAAAUGGUAGCUAAUACCGGAUACGACCCUCGGAGGCAUCUCCAGGGGGUGGAAAGAAUUUCGGUCAAGGAUGGACUCGCGGCCUAUCAGCUAGUUGGUGAGGUAACGGCUCACCAAGGCGACGACGGGUAGCCGGCCUGAGAGGGGGACCGGCCACACUGGGACUGAGACACGGCCCAGACUCCUACGGGAGGCAGCAGUGGGGAAUAUUGCACAAUGGGCGCAAGCCUGAUGCAGCAACGCCGCGUGAGGGAUGACGGCCUUCGGGUUGUAAACCUCUUUUAGUAGGGAAGAAGCGAAAGUGACGGUACCUGCAGAAAAAGCACCGGCUAACUACGUGCCAGCCGCCGCCGUAA